rfam:Pteropus alecto contig15809, whole genome shotgun sequence.
GGUUCCAUAGUGUAGUGGUUAGCACGUCUGCCUUACACGCAGAAGGUCCUGAGUUCGUGCCUCAGUGGAGCCA